GUGCCAGCCGCCGCGGUAAUACGUAGGGGGCGAGCGUUGUCCGGAUUCAUUGGGCGUAAAGCGCGUGCAGGCGGCCUGGUAAGUCGGCCGUGAAAGCGCCAGGCUUAACCUGGCGAGGUCGGGCGAGACUGCUAGGCUGGAGGCCGGUAGAGGGCGGUGGAAUUCCGGGUGUAGUGGUGGAAUGCGUAGAGAUCCGGAGGAACACCAGUGGCGAAGGCGGCCGCCUGGGCCGGACCUGACGCUGAGACGCGAAAGCGUGGGGAGCGAUCCGGAUUAGAUACCCCUGUAGUCC
rnacentral:rRNA from 1 species